AGAACGCCAAGUCGGUCUUAGCUAGAUGAUGUCAUGCGUGCCCUCCAAGCGGCAUACCCCUUCCUGGCCGACUCCACUGGACGCUGCGCUUGCUACUCGUCAGUCUCACUGUAGGAUUCACUGCGGCACAGCCUUAUUAACAAAAUGAAAAAAGAAAGGUUGCUUCUUAUGCAUCUGCCAGAAGUUCAGCAAAACAAGGAAAACUAUGGCAAAGGUGGUGGACGAAAGCGAAAGGAAAAACGCCAACGCAGUGACUGUAUUCAAAAAUAAAAAAAGGACCAUGGUUCCACAUCAUGACGUAGAAGGUACCGACAACUGUGCAGACCACAUAGAUAUUAUGGCUGCUGAAUGCUCCAAGGCUGCAACAGAUGUGAAGCUCUUACUUCAAAUAAUGGCACAGACGUAACAGGCAAGGAGGGUAGACAUCGCUGGCAAGACCACCACUGAUGUUA
rnacentral:lncRNA from 1 species